rnacentral:rRNA from 1 species
GAUGAACGCUGGCGGCGUGCCUAAUACAUGCAAGUCGAGCGAAUGGAUUAAGAGCUUGCUCUUAUGAAGUUAGCGGCGGACGGGUGAGUAACACGUGGGUAACCUGCCCAUAAGACUGGGAUAACUCCGGGAAACCGGGGCUAAUACCGGAUAACAUUUUGAACCGCAUGGUUCGAAAUUGAAAGGCGGCUUCGGCUGUCACUUAUGGAUGGACCCGCGUCGCAUUAGCUAGUUGGUGGGGUAACGGCUCACCAAGGCAACGAUGCGGAGCCGACCUGAGAGAGUGAUCGGCCACACUGGGACAGAGACACGGCACAGACUCCGACGGGAGGCAGCAGUAGGGAAUCUUCCGCAAUGGACGAAAGUCUGACGGAGCAACGCCGCGUGAGUGAUGAAGGCUUUCGGGUCGUAAAACUCUGUUGUUAGGGAAGAACAAGUGCUAGUUGAAUAAGCUGGCACCUUGACGGUACCUAACCAGAAAGCCACGGCUAACUACGUGCCAGCCGCCGCGGUAA